UUUUUUUUUUUUUAAUCUUUUGGUUAAAUCUGUUUUUAGCGGACUUACUUUUUUUUUUUAUUGCAGUAAAAUAUUUAACACCGCUGAGCUGUCCACUUAAAGAUGGUUAAAAUGGUCAGGUUUAUGUUAUGUGAAUUUUACCGAUCAAUCGAUAGGAAGAAAAAAAUUUUUAUUUUUAUUUAUUUAUUUAUUUUUAAGAUUUUAUUUAUUUAUUCAUAGAGACACAGAGAGAAAGAGAGAGAGGUAGAGACAGAGACAGAGGGAGAAGCAGGCGCCAUGCAGGGAGCCCAACAUGGGACUCCAUCCCGGGUCUCCAGGAUCAUACCCCGGGCUGCAGGCGGCGUUAAACUGCUGUACCACCAAGGCUGCCCGAAAAAAAUUUUUAAAUCCAAGGAGCUGAUGGGCAACUCCACAGCAAGGCAUGAGGCCCAUAGGAUGCGCGGGUCUCAUUGGCAGGAACAGAGUGAGACUUUCCCUAACGUGUUCACAUUCUGCAUUGAUCUCACAAGGAAUCAGAAGGCCUCAGCAGGAUAUGAAGACCUUCAGAAAGAAGCCAAGAAUAGUGUGGAAGUGCCUCCUUUUGGUGCAAGUAGUGGCUGAUUUCGUGACUUCAAGGACCACUUUGGUUCCUGCUGUGUUUGGGGAGUGACAACUGUAGAUGAAAACUCUGUGAGGAUAGGCCCUCCUGUGCUGGAGAGGAGAAAACACAGGAUUGAUGAAGAAGGGGGUCCCUGACGCAUAUUUUUAAGUUUGACGGCUCUAGUCUCUUUUAGAAGUGAGUGUCCUCAAGGACUUCCCUCUGCAAGGAGGAAGCACAAACCCAGGGAAAAAGUUGCACAGCACUGAUAGCUGAGAUGCAUGACUAGGCCCAGGAAGAUUUAGCCGGGUUCAUGUUUUUAGGAGGAUUAUCAUGGAUCUUGCAAGAAUCCUGGUGACAAAGUCCUGUGGGUUCUUGGAUCCCAAUUUUUCCCCCCACAAGCCCUGUCUUUUUAGGGCUGUAGUUUUUAAGGAUCUUCAAAUGUUCUAGAAGAAAUACCUGCAUCAAGGGGCGCCUGAGUGGCUCAUUUGAUUAAGCAUCUGCCUUCAGCUCAGGUCAUGAUUCCAAGGUCCUGGGAUGGAGUCCUGCAUCGGGCUCCCUGCUGAGCGGGAAGUCUGCUUCUCGCUCUCCUUUUGCCUGCAGCCCCUCCUGCUGCUGUGCAUGCUCUAGCUUUCUCUCUCCCUCCCUCCCUCCCUGUCUGUCUCUCUCUCACAUAAAUAAAUAAAAUAUUUAAAAAGAAGAAGAAGAAGAAAGAAAUGCCUGCAUCAUGCUUAGGAGGUAAUGCCCUGAGGAGUUCUUAUAGCAACCGGGACAGGUCAAUAUCUGGAUCAGAACAUGAGUUUUUGCCACUCUGGGCUCCAAGGGAACUCAAAACGGAUUUAAAGAAGGAAGAGAUGGACAGUCAAAAGGGAAUUCGCAGAACCUCAAAAGCCCUGCACAAUUUGGCAUAGAGCUCAGCCCAACCACCAUAACGUGGUCACCUCUAUGUCUAAAGCCUAGACUCUUUCUCAGAAGCAUCCUAUUGAAUGACAGGAAGAGAGACACAUGUCAUCACAGGUGGAAAAGUGAUGCUUCUGCUUCCAUGUGUGGGUGUUUAAGAGGUUACCUGCAUGAUCAGAAACUACGGAGCUGGAGAUACCUAAAGAGGACAUUUCUCUCUAGUCAGAAUACACAGAUCUAGAGCUGGAAAUUAUUUUAGAUUUGACAUUUACGUUGUCAAGAAACUUUCCCAUAUGUCCAACAAGACUUUCCGUUUAACUUCAGACUGGUAAAAAUAGUUCUAUUUGAGGGAAAAGCUCCUGUUGUUACUGUCUGUCCCGAACUGCCCUGACACUUGUUCUCUGCCUUGAGCUGCUUUGCCAUGAGUCCCCAACCCCCUGGCAUGGGGUCCAGCCCGUGUAUGGCCAAGACACUUAAGUACACAGGGCCCACUGUGGCGUGUCACCUGACAGCGUUGUCUGUACUGCAGUCUCAGGAGCACGGGAUUCUUGUAUGAAUCUAAGUGUAACCUGAGUUGAGAGACUCAGUGGAGAGAGGAAGGUAGUCUGUUUCCUUCUCCAAGUACUGUUCCUUGAGCAAGAUGCACUUUUUCCAAACAAUUCUAGAAGCAUUUAUUUUAGCCAAUGUGGCAGCUCAGCUUAAGGCCAGCUCUCCUUCCUCUGGUUUAGAUGGUAGUUGGGUAUGGGAAUGAAAGUGGUUAGGAGACCCUAAAUAAACUAUCACUCCCUUGCUUAAUUAUGACCACUUAUCAAUCCGGGAAAGGAAAGGAUGGUGGCCACUGGCAAAGGAGAAGGAACACAGUUGCCAGUGGAGACCAGGUAUGAAUCCCAGCUCUGUUGCCCAUUAGCUACAGGAAUUUGGGCACCUGGUUUCAUGACUCUUAGUUUCAGUUUGUUUCCUCACAGGAGAUUGAACUAUGGAUGUUCCCUAAGAUCCCUUCAACUUAGAAUUUCUGCCUUGAUUGUACUCAAAUCACAACAUUGUUAUAAAAUUGCUAGAAACGUGACUUUAUCGUAUUUACAAAAAGGAAUAAUGCAUUUCCUAAUCAUCAGUAGGAAGAAAUUAAAAUUGUUGAAUUCUUUUUUUAAAAGACUUUAUUUAUUUGAGAGACAGCGUGAGCAGGGGGGCAGAGGCAGAGGGAGAAGUAAACUUCCCACUGAUCAGGGAGCCCAAUGCAGGGCUUGAUCCCAGGACCCUGGGAUCAUGACUUGGGCCAAAGGCAGACAUUUAACCAACUGAGCCACCCAAAUGCCCCUAAAAUUUUUGAAUUUUUAACUUUGCUGUAAAGCUACAUUGUGGAAGUUUUCAGGUAGCAGAAGUUUUCUCAAAGCUAAAGUUGGUGACAGAGAUUUUGAAAAGCUGGAGAGAGGUAGGAGGGAAGGAGAAGAAAGAACAUGGCAUAGAUCUGUCCCCAAGGCCCCACUAUCUGUAAGAAUUUGAUGUAAGCUAAAAAAGGCCCCAAAAGUUGCUGACAGAGGGAGACAUUACACUGUAGUGUUGGGGAAGAGUUGUAGUGUAGUUAGCCAUUUUGAAAAAUAAAAUCUAAAAUUUUACAUCUUCACUUGAUCCUAGAAAGCCAACUCAAAUUCCAGAUAGAUUUAACAGUGAUUUCUUUUAAAGUAGAAAAUAGAGAAAGAAACAUUUGUGAAACUUUACUCUUAAGAAUUUUCUGUAGAAGAACAAAAGUUGCAAAAGAAAACACUGACAGAUUUGAUGUAAACUUCUGUGCUUCAUAAAAAGGCAAUCAAAAUGUAAAGACUCUCCACCUGGAGAGGAUAUUUGCUGAAAAGAAUCAAAUCUUCAAUGUAAGGAGAACUCUAGAAAUGGUCUUUAUAACUAAGGCUCUAAUCCAGAAUUUCUCCAAUUCUGGCCCAAGAAUCACUUGCAUCAGAAUUAGUUAAAAAGGUAGAUCCCCAUCCUUCACAUUUCUACCAAUUCUUCAGCACACUGAUGGCUGGGAUCCAUUGACCCACUCUGGCAGAGAGCAUUCCUUCCUGUAAAGGCGCAAAAGAGAAAUGACAUACAGUUAACAGGAAAAAUGAUUGGUCUCCUGAGAAGUUGAGGAGAUGCAAAUACACAUGAUGAAAUCAUUUUUCAUUAAUCAAGUUAUCAAAAAAAAUCUUAAAUGGUAACUCCUAGGGAUGUGAAACGUGCUUUCCAUGGCAUUUAUGGUGGUAUGUAUGAGGAAAGCCUUUUGUAGUAGAUGUCAAGAGCCCUUGACAUCUUCAUUCUCAGAGCCCCAUAAUUCUACUUUCAGGAACUCUCCUAUAGGAAUAAGCCCAACUGCUAACCACAGUGUUUGUAUUAGCAAAAAGUUGGAAACAGCAGUGUCUGAAAUGCUUGAUGUGGUCAAAUAAACCCUGAGCAGCCACUGGCUGGAAUAAUCUAUAGCUCUUAAAAGUGUUAUUUCUAGAGACUACAGAGUAACACAGGAAAAUGCAUAUAACAUUGAUUGAAAGAAGGGCCAUGCAGAGUUGUAUCCACAGCAUGACUUCAACUACAUAUAACGCACCGUACUUAGGAAAGGGAACACAAAGUGUAAGGGAUGGUUGUCUUGGGUCAUGAAUCCAUGGAAGAUUUUAAAGGUUUUUAUUUAAAAAUUUUUUUAACUUAUCUGGGUCCUUCAGGUUUUUGAAUGACUAAGUAUUCUAAUUUAUAUCGGGGAGGUGGGAACAUACUCAAAAAUGAUCUUCAGUGAGGGAAAAGAAAAGAAAAUGAUGUCCUGCUGCAGGUAGGCUCUGGGGGAGGAGACUCAGGGAGUCCUGCAUUAUGUCCGGUGGUGCUGGCUAGGUGGGUCUGGUUGUGCUUCCAAUUUUGAAGAAUUGGGCAGGGUGGAUAAUUUGCCUUGGGUUCCUCAGCAGGGAAGAAUUUUUGGAAACCCUGGGAAUGAGUACCCUGGCCAUUUUGAGGCAAGAAUUUUCCCCAUGGGACUCUACCCAGCUGUCUUAGAGCAGGGCCUAAUUUGACCAAUGUUUGCAACUUCAGCUGACCUAGGGUGACCCAUUUAGACCCACAAACCUGUCCUCUUGCUGGAAUAGGGAAGAAGGGACAGUGUGAUGGGACAGUUUGAAGAGGGUACCCAAACUGGCAUGGCUGCAGAGAGAUGGGAAAGGCUGCUCCCUACCUGAGGGCUCCGCACUCUUCUUGGCAGUGGAAGGAUAAUGAGCAAAAGACAGGAACAAAUCUCUGUGGUCUGCACUCUCCAGAAGCGUCAGACCUGGUGGGUUCGCAUUAGUUCCCUGGCAAGGGAGUUAGUUAGUUAGUGGGUAAAAAAAAAAAAAAAAGAAAAAAAAG
rnacentral:lncRNA from 1 species